UGACUGCUCUGUGGACCAAGGUCGUAGACUGCUCGCUGAGCCCAUAAAGCGAUAAAGUCCAUCUACAUGCAAACACUUGAACACCAUGUAAGGGUAAGUAAAGCCUCAUUUUCACUAAAUUCCUGUUUUACACAAUGUGCCAAAGAUAAAGCAAGAAUAAGAUAAGCUGCUGGAUGAUCUACGUUGUUGCUGCUUUUCUAGUCGUGGUACUACAAUGACGCAAUGACACGCUAGCGGUGAAAACAAACCGCUCAGUGAGAGCGAGGCUUAGCUGAGUGGAAAAGCUCACCAGAAUUAACUGGACUGUACCACUCCUUACCGGACCACUCAGUGGAAACAAAGUUUAAGGGUGGAGAAGGUGAGAAGCAGGUACAUCGUACACAUUUUUUCCUUUUUUAACCCCCUUAACCUUGAAGACUUUGCAAAGAGCCUGUUAGAAAUGAGGAAAUUAAGCAAUCAGUGUAGUUUGUGUGGACACUCUAGUGACACUUAUGGAACACCUUAACCAUCUUUAUGUAGCAUCCGUCCAGUGUGCACUUCUCUCUACGGUUAGAGCAUAAAGGGGUGCCCUCUAACCACCCAAAUGUCAAAAGUGCGUCUAACUUACAUUAUCCUUACAAGUGCUUCACAAUACACUUAAAAUACACAACAACAAUUGUACAUUCCAUUUUCAUGACAUCCAUUUAAGAUGGUAGAACAAGCAUUCAGGGGAACCCCAAGACGCACUUUGCGCUUCACUUAAAAGGCAACUUCUCAUGACUAUGACCCUCUACGGGCAUGAACAACCCAGAAGCCCACAGCAGUGGUACUGGUCAACCCCCCAAUGUGACUAAGGCUUAAAAUCGCAAAAGGUUAGUGCAUUACUCACCCAGCAAUAUUUAAAUGUUUUUUGCUUUUUUUUUUAAUGAAAACACAAAGCUUUAU